UUUUUUUUUUUAACAUGGUGGAAUGAUGUAGUCUAUCCUGUGGCUCAUACAAUCCUUGAUGGCAUAUGAUUACAGCACAGAUCUCAAUCGUACUGCUGACAUCUGAAGUUUGGGAAGUACUAUUUACAGGGAAACCUCCUUGGAGUGAGUAUGAGCGGGCUCAAGCUAUAUUUAAGGUGAUGCAAAGUUCUCCACCAAUACCUAAGAUGUUAUAUGCCGAGGGAAAGGAUUUCCUGCAAUGCUGCUUUUGAAGAGAGCCUGCCGAGAGGCUUUCAGUUGCUAUGCUACUUGAGCAUGCUUUCUUGCAAAUUUGAAGUGAUGAUUGACUUAUUUCAAGUGCCAUACCUUGUUGCAAAAGUAAUGUCUUACUAUAAAGUUCCAGAUUUGCUAAACCAAAAGUAUCAUGAGGUCCAUAGGUGUGAUGAAGUACUUGUCUAUCGACAAAAUUAGAUGCAUGUCUGAGCGGUGGCAUACUUUGAUCUAGGCAAUUUGACAGUGUUGCCUAAUCUAAAUGGAGAGCUAGGCAAUUUGAAAGUCUUGCCUAAUCUAAACAUUUUACUACGGAGUGCAUCCUUAUCAUAGACAUUUUGUCUAUUACUUUAA